rnacentral:rRNA from 1 species
GCAGCAGGCGCGCAAAUUACCCACUCCCGGCACGGGGAGGUAGUGACGAAAAAUAACGAUACGGGACUCAUCCGAGGCCCCGUAAUCGGAAUGAGUACACUUUAAAUCCUUUAACGAGGAUCAAUUGGAGGGCAAGUCUGGUGCCAGCAGCCGCGGUAAUUCCAGCUCCAAUAGCGUAUAUUAAAGUUGUUGCGGUUAAAAAGCUCGUAGUCGAAUUUGUGUCUCGCGCCGCCGGUUCAUCGUUCGCGGUGCCAACUGGCGUGUCGCGAGACGUCCUGCCGGCGGACUUAGCUCGCAAGAGCGGUCCAACUCAAUCCCGCCGCGGUGCUCUUCACUGAGUGUCGAGGUGGGCCGGCACGUUUACUUUGAACAAAUUAGAGUGCUUAAAGCAGGCUAAAAUUUCGCCUGAAUACUGUGUGCAUGGAAUAAUGAAACAGGACCUCGGUUCUAUUUUGUUGGUUUUCGGAACCCCGAGGUAAUGAUUAACAGGAACGGAUGGGGGCAUUCGUAUUGCGACGUUAGAGGUGAAAUUCUUGGAUCGUCGCAAGACGGACAGAAGCGAAAGCAUUUGCCAAAAACGCUUUCAUUGAUCAAGAACGAAAGUUAGAGGUUCGAAGGCGAUCAGAUACCGCCCUAGUUCUAACCAUAAACGAUGCCAGCUAGCGAUCCGCCGACGUUCCUCCGAUGACUCGGCGGGCAGCUUCCGGGAAACCAAAGCUUUUGGGUUCCGGGGGAAGUAUGGUUGCAAAGCUGAAACUUAAAGGAAUUGACGGAAGGGCACCACCAGGAGUGGAGCCUGCGGCUUAAUUUGACUCAACACGGGAAACCUCACCAGGCCCAGACACCGGAAGGAUUGACAGAUUGAGAGCUCUUUCUUGAUUCGGUGGGUGGUGGUGCAUGGCCGU